rnacentral:lncRNA from 1 species
GUGGCUUAGGUCGGCUACUCGGUUAAUUGCAGGCUGCAUCGAGAUGUAUUAAUAGUGGUUUCAUUUCAUUGUUUCAUUUCACAACAGAAAUUGUCAGAAAAUAAAUUCCCUGCAAAAGGGGCACUGCUAAUGUCCGAGGGCAAAGGGGCAGGUGCGUCAGCACCACCUGGGGGCCAUCUACUGUAUAUACGUGCCUGGAUAGUCACCACGAGGAGCAGCAGUUUCGUGAUGGAUUUUUAUGACAUUAUAUUGUCUCACUGUGAUCUGUAUCAUGUACUUCCUCAUAGACGUCACAUUUUAGAUGAUAAGAGAAUUCGCUGAAAAUGGAUGCAAAUCCGGCCUUUUCCUUGUCUUUUCUAUACCGAAAUGAUCCAAUUUACUCCCGGUGUGCCUCAGAUUUGAUGACUGCCUCCCUAACAGUCAACAAUAACUUCAUCAAAGAGCAGAAACAACUCAUGAAGACCCUGAGGCAACUGGAACAUGAGCGUGUCACACAGAAGCGACGGCUGGAGGAGGAACAGAAGCAGUUUGCGUUCGUUAUGAGCAGGCGUCUGCGCCCGCGGAACAUACAGGCAUCAGCCAGCACCAUCACAUCAGCCAGCAUCUCGGCCCGCCGCCCUGCCAGGUGUACCCGCUCUGCCCCGCCAGCCUUGUCCACACAGAGGCAUGAAGCCAGGGGAAGGAGCUGGGAGCCAAGAGAUGCUACACAUGGGCAGUGUGAGAUGAUGACCCACUUAUGCCACUUGACCAGGUCUCUUCACAUGUGCUCAGAAGACAGCACCAAACCAAUGGCAACUGAUAUUGUGAGAGGCGGUGGUGGCAGCUCAGAAGGAAAGAACCAACAAGAGAGCAAAAACCCAAGAGGACGAAAUGCCAGAAGCUGUCCUCCAUCCCUGCAGAGGAGGGCUGAACACACAGAGACAGUCUGCUUGGACAUAAACCACCAUGCCAAAUAA